UAUAUAUUAUACAUUUAUACUAUGCACAAUAUUUCGUGAUCAUUCAAUAAUAGUUGACAACAAAAGAUAUUUCAAAUAUUAUAGAAACACUGUAAUUAAUUUUAUUUGCAAAUAAAAAAUUAUUAUAUAUUCAUUGUAUUUUAUAUGUUUCUUUGAAACCUUGAAUGAUUUCAGCACUCUUUAUAUUAUCUUAUAUACUUUAUAUUAUUUAUUUGAAAAGUGACAAUUUUGAUUUAUUUAAAUUAUUAAUUUUAUAAUAAAACAAAAAAAAAAAAAAAAAGAUAGUUUGUCUUAUGCUCAAGCUGUACAAUCAUGAAAUUUAAAAGUGUCAAUAUGUAAUUGUCUUACAUGCACACUGUGAAAUAAUCAUUUGGUUAUUAUUAAUAUAAUUAAUAUCCAUAUAUUUAAAUUCAAUUGAAUCAAUGAUUUAUAACUUAUUUCAUAUUUGUAUUGCUUUUCAUGAAUGAAUUACAUAUGAAAAGAUUAAUAAUAAUUUAUAGAGCAGUUAUCUAAGGACGGAAAUAAAUAUCCUCUUUUUUAAUUAAA